rnacentral:snoRNA from 1 species
AAGACUAUAUUUUCAGGGACCAUUUCUGUAGUUCUUUACCAGAAAGGCCAUGGACUUGGCAUCAGAAGUCAAAGAAGAUUCCAGAGC